rnacentral:rRNA from 1 species
AGAGUGGCGAACUGGUGAGUAACGCGUGGGUGACCUGCCCCGAAGACGGGGAUAACCGUUGGAAACGACGGCUAAUACCCGAUAUACUCGGUGAUUCGGUUCAUCGAGUAAAGGCUCCGGUGCUUCGGGAUGGGCCUGCGGCCUAUCAGCUAGUUGGUGGGGUAAUGGCCCACCAAGGCGAAGACGGGUAGGGGGCGUGAGAGCGCGGCCCCCCACACUGGCACUGAGAUACGGGCCAGACUUCUACGGAAGGCAGCAGUCGGGGAUAUUGCACAAUCGGCGAAAGCCGGAUGCAGCGACGCCGCGUGGGCGAUGAAGGCCUUCGGGUUGUAAAGCCCUUUUAUGGGGGAAGAGACAAGGACGGUACCCCAAGAAUAAGCGUCGGCUAACUACGUGCCAGCAGCCGCGGUAAAACGUAGGACGCAAGCGUUAUCCGGAUUUACUGGGCGUAAAGAGCGUUGAGGCGGUUCCGUAAGUUGGGCGUGAAAGCCCCGGGCUUAACCCGGGGAGGUCGUUCAAUACUGCGGGACUUGAGGGCAGCAGAGGGAGGCGGAAUUCCCGGUGUAGCGGUGAAAUGCGUAGAUAUCGGGAGGAACACCAGUGGCGAAGGCGGCCUCCUGGGCUGUUUCUGACGCUGAAGGCGAAAGCUAGGGGAGCGAACGGGAUUAGAAACCCCGGUAGUCCUAGCCGUAAACGAUGGAUGCUGGGUGUGGGGGGUAUAGAUCCCCUCCGUGCCGAAGCUAACGCGUUAAGCAUCCCGCCUGGGGAUUACGGCCGCAAGGCUUAAACUCAAACGAAUUGACGGGGGCCCGCACAAGCAGCGGAGCGUGUGGUUUAAUUCGAUGCUACACGAAGAACCUUACCUGGGCUUGACAUGUAGGUAGUAGUGAAGCGAAAGCGGAACGACCCUUCGGGGAGCCUACACAGGUGCUGCAUGGCUGUCGUCAGUUCGUGCCGUGAGGCGUGGGGUUAAGUCCCGUAAAGAACGCAACCCUUGCCCUUAGUUACAUGUGUCUAAGGGGACUGCCCGGGACAACUGGGAGGAAGGUGGGGAUGAGGUCAAGUCAGCAUGGCCUUUAUGUCCAGGG